GUUGCUGAGAAGUUGGUCAAACUUGGUCAUUUAGAGGAAGUAAAAGUCGUAACAAGGUUUCCGUAGGUGAACCUGCGGAAGGAUCAUUAUCGUACAAAAUGUGUGAGGCAUGCAAGGGUUGUCGCUGACUUUUGACGCAAAAGUUGUGCACGCCGGAGUGUGUCCUCUCACAUAAAAUCCAUCUCACCCUUUUGUGCACCACCGCGUGGGCACCCCUUCGGGAUCGAACUGAUCCAGGAGAGGGGGCUUGCGUUUUCACACAAACCCCUUUUUAAAAAGUGUAGAAUGACCUCAUCUUUGCGAUAACACGCAAUCAAUACAACUUUCAACAACGGAUCUCUUGGCUCUCGCAUCGAUGAAGAACGCAGCGAAAUGCGAUACGUAAUGUGAAUUGCAGAAUUCAGUGAAUCAUCGAAUCUUUGAACGCACCUUGCGCCCCUUGGUAUUCCGAGGGGCACACCCGUUUGAGUGUCGUGAAAAUCUCAACCUUCUCGGUUUCUUCUGGAUGCCGAAGGAGGCUUGGACUUUGGAGGCCUUUGCUGGCGUCUCUCGCCAGCUCCUCUCAAAUGAAUUAGCGGGGUCCUCUUUGCCGAUCCUCGACAUGUGAUAAGAUGUUUCCAUGUCUUGGUUUCUGGCUCUGUUGCCUUUGGGACCCGCUUCCAACCGUCUCAACGACGAUUGUUUGUGAGCGCGUCUCCCUCCUCGGGAAACACACUCUCAAACCCCACGAACCCUUGACCUCAAAUCGGGUGAGACUACCCGCUGAACUUAAGCAUAUCAAUAAGCGGAGGAAAAGANACUAAC
rnacentral:rRNA from 1 species